rnacentral:sRNA from 3 species
AUGUACCCACGUACACUCCGGUUCCUCCGCGCCGUCCGCACCCACCUGACGACUGCUCGCUCUGACGACUGCUCGCUACGUUUUGUUAGCC